GGUGGUUCUCGGGUGAUGCAUCUUGAAAUCGGACUCCCUUCUCUCUGGUUCUGGGUGUGUCACCCAAGAACCACA
rfam:Myotis davidii contig319002, whole genome shotgun sequence.